ACUCACACACCCUGGGUUGUCUGCGCAUGCGUUGCUCCGCCCCAUUACCUUCUCGACCAAUAGGCGACCCCCUCCGUUCCCUCUACUUUUAUGGAAACCCACAGCUCCACCAUGCGGAGCGCAGCUGUGUUCAGAUGUAGUGUGUGUGUCUCAAAGAUUGAAGUUUUGGAGAUCUGCCGGAUGGACGAAAUUAUUCCUGAAGAGUCGAUAUGCCAGCAGCUGCCCCCCAAAGAUCAUCAUGGCCAAGCCAGAACCUGAAAACAAACAGGAGUUACAGCAUGUACUUGCAACAGUGAGACCGACGUGCAGGAGAGUGACUGUGAUGGCAUAAUCCCACACCCAUUCUUCCACAAUCCAGGCGAAUAU